rnacentral:rRNA from 2 species
GUACAGGAUAGGUAGGAGCCUGAGAAGCCGGAGCGCUAGCUUCGGUGGAGGCGUCGGUGGGAUACUACCCUGGCUGUAUUGAAAUUCUAACCCGCGGCCCUUAUCGGGCCGGGAGACAGUGUCAGGUGGGCAGUUUGACUGGGGCGGUCGCCUCCUAAAAUGUAACGGAGGCGCCCAAAGGUUCCCUCAGAAUGGUUGGAAAUCAUUCGUAGAGUGUAAAGGCACAAGGGAGCUUGACUGCGAGACCUACAAGUCGAGCAGGGACGAAAGUCGGGCUUAGUGAUCCGGUGGUUCCGCAUGGAAGGGCCAUCGCUCAACGGAUAAAAGCUACCCCGGGGAUAACAGGCUUAUCUCCCCCAAGAGUCCACAUCGACGGGGAGGUUUGGCACCUCGAUGUCGGCUCAUCGCAUCCUGGGGCUGUAGUCGGUCCCAAGGGUUGGGCUGUUCGCCCAUUAAAGCGGUACGCGAGCUGGGUUCAGAACGUCGUGAGACAGUUCGGUCCCUAUCCGUCGUGGGCGUAGGAAAUUUGAGAGGAGCUGUCCUUAGUACGAGAGGACCGGGAUGGACACACCGCUGGUGUACCAGUUGUCUUGCCAAAGGCAUCGCUGGGUAGCUAUGUGUGGACGGGAUAAGUGCUGAAAGCAUCUAAGCAUGAAGCCCCCCUCAAGAUGAGAUUUCCCAUAGCGCAAGCUAGUAAGAUCCCUGAAAGAUGAUCAGGUUGAUAGGUCAGAGGUGGAAGCGUGGCGACAUGUGUAGCUGACUGAUACUAAUCGAUCGAGGACUUAACCAAA